rnacentral:lncRNA from 1 species
GGCGAGCACGCCAGCGAGCCGCUCAGCGGGCAGGCUCUCAGACGCCUGGAGCGCAAGAUGAAGCUGGUCAAGGAGGGGCAGCAUGACGUGUACCUGUGAUGAUGGGGGAAGCGGACGAUGGAAGACGGGGGAUUAGGGCGGAGAUCGGUUUGACCAGAGAGUGACUUUGGAGUGAGGUGAGGUCUACUGCCGGCCUGCAGUUUUGGCUUUUGGGUCGCAACCACCGGAGUUAUGGAUUGGUGUGGGGAGUGAGCUUUUCUGGUCCGGCGUGGCGGAGUCUUUUCCAUGCUUAUCCGCAAAGAUCUUUUGAGAUUCUAGUUUGGUAGAAUUCUUUAUAAUUUGUUUGGUAAAUGCGUGGGUAAUGCCACAAGCAUUGCAUGUGUUCAUGCUUGACAAGGAAUAAUGAAUCUCGCUGCUGUGUGCACGCGAUGCGGAGCAAUGAAGGAAAAAUGACACUUGUUAGGGAUGUGGAGGAGCUGGCUCUCUGUUUUUAUUUUUUGGGGCAUGUUUUCAGCUGAAAGCUGCUCAACCCCAAAUGGUUGUUUGGGGCUGAGGAAUUGCUCUGCUUAGAAGAGCGUGCAUCUGAACAUUGUACGGUACGGGAAUCGGUGAUGAAAUUGCCUGAAGAUGCACGAAUGAAGGAUUACCAGGUAUUGACCUGAGGAAUAUGUGGCCCAGUUGUUCAGGCGCCUUAAAUCUCAUCUUUAAUGUAAUCCAGAAAGCUGUAAGAAAAAGGGUUCCUAUUCAAGCUGCCGCGUGCCUAUUCAAAUGUAUAUGAGUCUUACCUUCCGUCUGGUGGCCUACGAGCUUAAGCAUGUGAUAUAAUGUAUUGGCCAUAGCAGACCCGACGCGACAUGCUGUAGCUGUAAGGACGCCGCACGCUAUCAUCCUGCUGUGAAAGCAACCGCAUUACGCAGGGCACUCACAUAAAUUGGUGCGGCUUUAAAGCCGCACAAAAUUUUUUGUUAGGUGAGUCGAAACUGGUGUUGCAGCUGCCCGUGGAAGACCUGGCCCAGAACUGCACUUUUCAGACUGGAUGCAGGCCGCCCACAUGAACAUAGCAGACCCAGACUGCGCUUGCUUCGUAACAAAGAAAUCCACGUCUUAGGAGUUUAUUUAGAGAACUUUGCGGCCUGACUGAAAAACUGAAACCACGGUCGACACCUUUCCGGGCCAGAAACCUACGGAAUGAAAUCCUUUUGGAAUGGACACCACAGACGAAUUCCUUCCCUAAGUUUCCUUUAUGGUGUCGCGGUUGCUUACCUUCUCACGUGUGCCUGCAGUAGUGGUUAUCGUCCUGUGCUUAUUUUGGCUGCGUUGCUCUGAGUACUGUAUCGCUUGAUGAACAGCUUGCCAGAUGCCGCUUCCAUCAACUUUUACAUCUGUCGCAUAGAGACGACUUUGGAACUGCAAGUCGGUUGCCACCACAGGCGCGUGACAAAUGCGGAUUAACUUGGAAAUAGCAUGUCUAACGUAAUUGGAUUACCUUCUUCUGCGGCCUCCCGUCACAUGUCAGGGAGAUGUUGCGCCGAAACCCUUUUCGGCGGAACACCAUUGUCCUCUGUACCUCGGGAUGUACA